CUCUCCUCUCUCUAUAAUUCGGUCCAUACCCCCCCCCCUCUCCACAACUGAUUUCCAUCACCAUCAUCACCUUCACAUCUCCAUCUUCUUCCACUAAAAGCUCUCUUGCAAGUUGUGAAGAUCCUCCAUAGAAGUGAGAAGUUGGAGUGCUCUCAAGAAGCCUUGUUCAAGCUUUUCUCACCAUCAUUCUUCAUCAUCCUUGCACUAAGAUUCCAACCCUAGCCUUGUGCUAGUAUCGAGAAAAUGAUUUUCUAUAAAAUAUGGGUAGUCGUGUUUGCUGAGGAGAUUUGGGUUACGAGUACCGAAGACGCAAUACUGUGA
rnacentral:lncRNA from 1 species